rnacentral:rRNA from 1 species
GACGUAGGGGGCGAGCGUUAUCCGGAUUUACUGGGCGUAAAGCGCGUGCAGGUGGUUUGAUAAGUCGGGCGUGAAAUCUCCUGGCUCAACUGGGAGAGGCCGUCCGAUACUAUCAGACUUGAGGGCAGUAGAGGGAGGUGGAAUUCCGGGUGUAGUGGUGAAAUGCGUAGAUAUCCGGAGGAACACCGGUGGCGAAGGCGGCCUCCUGGACUGCCCCUGACACUCAGACGCGAAAGCUAGGGGAGCGAACGGG